CUGCCUGGCAGGUCCCUGUGCCCAGGGUAGGGAAGUUUCUUAUUUCUCCUGCUCUGACUUCCCCCUUUGAUUUAUUAUAGCCAUGAAAUGCUCUGCUCUCUUCUCUUUUCCUUGCCGUCCCCGGGGCUGGAGGAGCACAGGCCUCCCCAGGCACCGGGCCUCAGCUUUGCUGCACUCCCAUCUCCUUCCAAGGGUUGAGGCCGGGUGGCCAGAAAUGGGAGGAAGCUGUGAAGAGGACCUCUGCUGGGAUCUUGAGCCCGCAGGGACAGGGUGAGCCUUCCUCCCUCUGGAAGAACGCCGGGUGUGCACCCCCCCCCCCCCCCCCCGCACACGAACAUCAUACAUGCUGUCUUGUGGAAUUCUCACAA